GUUUGGUCCUAGUGCAGUGGUGUUUACAACUAACUAAUUGAUCACAACCAAUUACAGAUUCUUUUUUCUCUUCUCCACUCCCACUGCUUCACUUGACCAAAAAUAU
rnacentral:Y_RNA from 1 species